rnacentral:snRNA from 1 species
GCUUAUUUCGGCAGCAUAUAACUGAAAUUGGACAAUACAGAGAUUAGCAUGGCCCCUGUGCAAAAACAACAGGCAAACUCAUAAAUCAUUCCAUGCUUUU